CAGUAGCCGCGGGAAUACGUAGGGUGCAAGCGUUAAUCGGAAUUACUGGGCGUAAAGCGUGCGCAGGCGGUUCUAUAAGACAGAUGUGAAAUCCCCGGGCUCAACCUGGGAACUGCAUUUGUGACUGUAGAGCUGGAGUGCGGCAGAGGGGGAUGGAAUUCCGCGUGUAGCAGUGAAAUGCGUAGAUAUGCGGAGGAACACCGAUGGCGAAGGCAAUCCCCUGGGCCUGCACUGACGCUCAUGCACGAAAGCGUGGGGAGCAAACAGGAUUAGAUACCCGAGUAGUCCCUGUCUCUUAUAC
rnacentral:rRNA from 1 species